rnacentral:rRNA from 1 species
AUACGCGUGGAACCUUACCAACCCUUGACAUACUCGUCGUCGCUCCAGAGAUGGAGCUUUCAGCUAGGCUGGAUCGGAUACAGGUGCUGCAUGGCCGUCG